rnacentral:lncRNA from 1 species
UGAUUUAUAAGAGGCAACACUUAAUAAGAUGAUAUACUCGGGAUUUCAACUCAAUCAAACAAAUUGUGUUCCUCCAUUUCACAUGUCAAAGAGGUGAUAAAUACCUAAAAAUAAGAAAGGAAAAAAAAGUGAGGAAUCAGUACACAACAGCAGCAUAAAAGAUCCCAGCAACAGGAAACAACCAGCAAAAACCCAGCUCAAAACCAGUCAAUGGAAUAGUAGAAGAACAACAACUCAGAACCUCAUCUUCAAGAAAAAUUCAAACCAUCUCUCAAACUAG